UGGGGAAUUUUGGACAAUGGGCGAAAGCCUGAUCCAGCAAUGCCGCGUGUGUGAAGAAGGCCUUCGGGUUGUAAAGCACUUUUGUCCGGAAAGAAAUCCUUGGCUCUAAUACAGUCGGGGGAUGACGGUACCGGAAGAAUAAGCACCGGCUAACUACGUGCCAGCAGCCGCGGUAAUACGUAGGGUGCAAGCGUUAAUCGGAAUUACUGGGCGUAAAGCGUGCGCAGGCGGUUUGCUAAGACCGAUGUGAAAUCCCCGGGCUCAACCUGGGAACUGCAUUGGUGACUGGCAGGCUAGAGUAUGGCAGAGGGGGGUAGAAUUCCACGUGUAGCAGUGAAAAUGCGUAGAGAUGUGGAGGAAUACCGAUGGCGAAAGGCAGCCCCCUGGGCAAUACUGACGCUCAUGCACGAAAAGCGUGGGGAGCAAACAGGAUUAGAUACCCUGGUAGUCCACGCCCUAAAACGAUGUCAACUAGUUGUUGGGGAUUCAUUUCCUUAGUAACGUAGCUAACGCGUGAAGUUGACCGCCUGGGGAGUACGGUCGCAAGAUUAAAAACUUAAAGGAAUUGACGGGGUCAUAGCUGUUUCCU
rnacentral:rRNA from 1 species